GUCAUGAUAUUUCUCCUAUUUGGGUCGGGUAAAUUGGGCUCACUUAUUAAUUUAAUCCGUUGGGCUUUUAUAAUUAAGCCAUGGGGCUCGUUGGGCCUAGUCACUGUGUUAACUUUAUUUAAUCCUAUAGGACCGGGUCAGUUCGUUGGAUUAGCCCAUUGGAUCAUUUAAUAUCUAUCACUUUGACUUGUAAUGAUGAUAUAGUAUGACAGUUGACCGAGAUAUCUGCCAUGCAUUAAUGUGGAUGGGAUUAUAGUCGGCCGGCGGUGUAAACAGU
rnacentral:lncRNA from 1 species